AGCAGCCGCGGUAAUUCCAGCUCCAAUAGCGUAUAUUAAAGUUGUUGCAGUUAAAAAGCUCGUAGUUGAAUUUCGGGAUCAAUUAAUUGGUCGUGCCUAUGGUACGUACUGAUUUUAUUGGUUUCUCCCUUCUGACGAACCAUGAUGUCAUUAAUUUGGUGUCGUGAAGAAUCAGGACUGUUACUUUGAAAAAUUAGAGUGUUUAAAGCAAGCUAACGCUUGAAUACAUUAGCAUGGAAUAAUGAAAUAGGACGUUUGAUCCUAUUUUGUUGGUUUCUAGGGUCGACGUAAUGAUUAAUAGGGAUAGUUGGGGGCAUUAGUAUUCAAUUGUCAGAGGUGAAAUUC
rnacentral:rRNA from 1 species